rnacentral:tRNA from 1 species
GAGGGUACGAGCUUAGUGGUAGAGUGUGUGUUUAGCAUGUGUGAGGUCUUGGGUUCAAUCCCCAGUACCUUCA